GAAAAUCAGGAAGCAAACCCGAAAGCAGCUGGGUUCAGAUUGCCAUUCUGGAGAGAGAGAACAAUCAGGGUCUUAUGAAAGGAGGCUGUGGGGAGGAGCACCGGGAGGCUGCAGGCUGUCCAGGAAGCUUACAUGUUUCAGCAAGGAAGGUCCUUUUUGAUAUCAACGGAAAGAAAAGAAAAGAAAAGAAAAGAAAAGAAAAGAAAAGAAAAGAAAAGAAAAGAAAAGAAAAGAAAGAAAGCUCUUCAAUUUACUCUAGG